rnacentral:rRNA from 1 species
AGAGUUUGAUCCUGGCUCAGGACGAACGCUGGCGGCGUGCCUAAUACAUGCAAGUCGAACGCUUCUUUUCCCCCGGAGCUUGCUCCACCGGGAAAAGAGGAGUGGCGAACGGGUGAGUAACACGUGGGUAACCUGCCCAUCAGAAGGGGAUAACACUUGGAAACAGGUGCUAAUACCGUAUAACAAUCGAAACCGCAUGGUUUCGUUUUGAAAGGCGCUUUACGGUGCCGCUGAUGGAUGGACCCGCGGUGCAUUAGCUAGUUGGUGAGGUAACGGCUCACCAAGGCCACGAUGCAUAGCCGACCUGAGAGGGUGAUCGGCCACAUUGGGACUGAGACACGGCCCAAACUCCUACGGGAGGCAGCAGUAGGGAAUCUUCGGCAAUGGACGAAAGUCUGACCGAGCAACGCCGCGUGAGUGAAGAAGGUUUUCGGAUCGUAAAACUCUGUUGUUAGAGAAGAACAAGGGUGAGAGUAACUGUUCACCCCUUGACGGUAUCUAACCAGAAAGCCACGGCUAACUACGUGCCAGCAGCCGCGGUAAUACGUAUGUGGCAAGCGUUGUCCGGAUUUAUUGGGCGUAAAGCGAGCG